rnacentral:sRNA from 1 species
UUUACAAUAAUGUCUUUUGGAGGAGAACGUGAAAUCUACACAUUGCGGAGAUGGAUGUACAACCAUAGAGAUCCGUCGACCAGUGAUGUGACGAGAGAGUUUGUUGAUGAAUUGCGUGGUUUUAUGUAUCAAGUAGGCCUGGGCAUUCGGUUAACCAUUCGGUUUCGGUUCGGUUGCGCAUGGUUUCGAUUAU